AAUGGCGAUUAUAGCGUAGGGGAUCACCUCUUCCCAUCCCGAACAGAGAAGUUAAGCCCUACAGCGCCGAUGGUACUAGGUAAAACCUGGGAGAGUAGGUCGUCGCCAACC
rnacentral:rRNA from 1 species